UACGGAGGGUGCAAGCGUUAAUCGGAAUUACUGGGCGUAAAGCGUGCGUAGGCGGUCUGUCGCGUCUGCUGUGAAAUCCCGAGGCUCAACCUCGGGCCUGCAGUGGGUACGGGCAGACUAGAGUGCGGUAGGGGAGAUUGGAAUUCCUGGUGUAGCGGUGGAAUGCGCAGAUAUCAGGAGGAACACCGGUGGCGAAGGCGGGUCUCUGGGCCGAUAUUGACGCUGAGGAGCGAAAGCGUGGGGAGCGAACAGG
rnacentral:rRNA from 1 species